rnacentral:rRNA from 1 species
UACAGGGGGUGCAAACGUUGCUCGGAAUCACUGGGCGUAAAGCGCACGUAGGCGGUUCGUUAUGUCGGAUGUGAAAGCCCUUGGCUUAACCGAGGAAGUGCAUCCGAAACUGGCGAGCUAGAGUACGAAAGAGGAUCGCGGAAUUCCCGGUGUAGAGGUGAAAUUCGUAGAUAUCGGGAGGAACACCGGUGGCGAAGGCGGCGAUCUGGGUCGAUACUGACGCUGAGGUGCGAAAGCGUGGGGAGCAAACAGG